rnacentral:lncRNA from 1 species
GCUCAACAUUCCUUUCGAACAUUCUUCGCUUCUACAGUGUGGUAUUUUCGAGAAAUUGAACAGUACGUUGAGGUUCAGCCCUGCCACACACGAAAGUGCAGCGGCCCGUAAGUCGGACGGUCCCCCACAUGCACCUGUGUCGUUUCGCCAGUUCCUCCCCUUUCCGUUUAACAGGGUGCUUUCGCUUAAUGUUUCACCUGAAAGAAUAGUUGGCCCCAUAAAAAGGCGCAAAAAGCAUUGGCUGCUCCCAUUCUUCUUAUCCUUGACAAACACCAGUCUUCACACACAACCGUAGUGUCCGAACCAGAGGAAGCCUGAACAUUCCACCGUAGCCAUGCCAAACGAAAACUAGCUUUUGCGACGGUUUUCUUCUUUUUCAUGGAGGAUAUUCUUAAGCAUGGAACAAUAGAGACUUCUGACGGGGUAUUGACUUUUCUCUGUCGAAGAAAUCCUGACGAUAACGCAGCGGGAUGGCUGCAGUCGCCGCCCUUAGACUGGCAUCCCGUCAAUCUCAAGAAUUCGACAGAUAUGCAUCCCGUUUUCCCCUUCUGACAAACGCCGACUUUUGUGCAGGAGUAGACCUCGUCCUCCGCUUCAGUCUCCUAGUACUUUCUACGGAAAACGGGGCAGAAAAAAUGAGGGAUUCUUUCCGACUGGUCGAUAGAUGCGUAGCUGGAGAGGCACACUAAAUGCGCCAGCAUCUCUACAGAUGACCUAUUUCCAAAAUAUUUUGAAUUGCUGCUUCUUGGUGGUUGAAUGGGGCUGGAGGGCGACACAAAUUUGGAACAUUAACAGUAGGUCAAAGGAUUCCCCCCGAAUUGCCUGGAUGAGUCGCAUAAAGAGGAUGUGUACCGAUUCAGAGUAAAGGAUAAAUGAUUCAGCUGUGAUCCUCUGGUUGGUCAUGGCGCAUGUGUGAAGAGGAUAGGGGAACUUCUUCGUACCAAUAUAUACUGAGGCCUUGCAAGGUGUUUUCACCAAUUUGAAAACCGUCGUUUGCGGCUCUCUGACGAAGUUUUUCAGCGCGGGAGAUCCACACGACGACUCUAUGUAGGCAUUUCCUGCGCUUUCUGGAGGCAUGCUUUGAACCAGGACACUCCGUCACCCCUAAUAUGGUGGGGUCACCUAGGAAAGUUCCAACCGCAUUGUGCUGUCGGAGAGAAGGGGCUUUGCACAGAUGAAAAGAUUCCAGUCCUCAACUUUCCGGAAAUAUCCCUCCCGUCCGGCAGAGAACGAAUUCACAGUUGCACAGCUGUAUCUGGAGAGUUGAGUAGGCAGUGCUGUGGCUGCCGUGACUUGUGUUGGCAUGGGAUUCACUGGAAGUACGGAGGUAGCUAUUAACCGAUGUGUACAAGCAGGCAUGUGCAUGCCUACACGUGUGAGAUAUGCAUUCAUGUGCGGCUGUGUAUGUGCGUCAGUGCAUGGACA